UACGGAGGGUGCGAGCGUUGCUCGGAAUCACUGGGCGUAAAGCGUACGCAGGCCGUUUUGUAAGUCGGGUGUGAAAGCCCGGGGCUCAACCCCGGAACUGCGCCCGAGACUGCAGGACUUGAAUGCGGGAGAGGAAAGCGGAAUUCCUGGUGUAGAGGUGAAAUUCGUAGAUAUCAGGAGGAACACCUGUGGCGAAAGCGGCUUUCUGGCCCGACAUUGACGCUCAUGUACGAAAGCGCGGGGAGCAAACAGG
rnacentral:rRNA from 1 species